GACGAACGCUGGCGGCGUGCUUAACACAUGCAAGUCGAACGGAAAGGCCCUGCUUUUGUGGGGUGCUCGAGUGGCGAACGGGUGAGUAACACGUGAGUAACCUGCCCUUGACUUUGGGAUAACUUCAGGAAACUGGGGCUAAUACCGGAUAGGAGCUCCUGCUGCAUGGUGGGGGUUGGAAAGUUUCGGCGGUUGGGGAUGGACUCGCGGCUUAUCAGCUUGUUGGUGGGGUAGUGGCUUACCAAGGCUUUGACGGGUAGCCGGCCUGAGAGGGUGACCGGCCGAAUUGGGACUGAGAGACGGCCCGGACUCCGACGGGGGGCAGCAGGGGGAAAGAGUGCACAAGGGGGGGAGGCCUGAGGCAGCACCGCCGGGUGCGGGAUGGCGGCUUUCGGGUUGUAAACCGCUUUCGCCUGUGACGAAGGGGGAGUGAGGGUAAUGGGAAAAGAAGCCCCGGCUACCUACGU
rnacentral:rRNA from 1 species